rnacentral:rRNA from 1 species
AGAAUGUUAUCACGGGAGACACACGGCGGGUGCUAACGUCCGUCGUGAAGAGGGAAACAACCCAGACCGCCAGCUAAGGUCCCAAAGUCAUGGUUAAGUGGGAAACGAUGUGGGAAGGCCCAGACAGCCAGGAUGUUGGCUUAGAAGCAGCCAUCAUUUAAAGAAAGCGUAAUAGCUCACUGGUCGAGUCGGCCUGCGCGGAAGAUGUAACGGGGCUAAACCAUGCACCGAAGCUGCGGCAGCGACGCUGAUGCGUUGUUGGGUAGGGGAGCGUUCUGUAAGCCUGCGAAGGUGUGCUGUGAGGCAUGCUGGAGGUAUCAGAAGUGCGAAUGCUGACAUAAGUAACGAUAAAGCGGGUGAAAAGCCCGCUCGCCGGAAGACCAAGGGUUCCUGUCCAACGUUAAUCGGGGCAGGGUGAGUCGACCCCUAAGGCGAGGCCGAAAGGCGUAGUCGAUGGGAAACAGGUUAAUAUUCCUGUACUUGGUGUUACUGCGAAGGGGGGACGGAGAAGGCUAUGUUGGCCGGGCGACGGUUGUCCCGGUUUAAGCGUGUAGGCUGGUUUUCCAGGCAAAUCCGGAAAAUCAAGGCUGAGGCGUGAUGACGAGGCACUACGGUGCUGAAGCAACAAAUGCCCUGCUUCCAGGAAAAGCCUCUAAGCAUCAGGUAACAUCAAAUCGUACCCCAAACCGACACAGGUGGUCAGGUAGAGAAUACCAAGGCGCUUGAGAGAACUCGGGUGAAGGAACUAGGCAAAAUGGUGCCGUAACUUCGGGAGAAGGCACGCUGAUAUGUAGGUGAAGUCCCUCGCGGAUGGAGCUGAAAUCAGUCGAAGAUACCAGCUGGCUGCAACUGUUUAUUAAAAACACAGCACUGUGCAAACACGAAAGUGGACGUAUACGGUGUGACGCCUGCCCGGUGC